rnacentral:rRNA from 1 species
UACGGAGGGGGCUAGCGUUGUUCGGAAUUACUGGGCGUAAAGCGCACGUAGGCGGAUUGUUAAGUUAGGGGUGAAAUCCCAGGGCUCAACCCUGGAACUGCCUUUAAUACUGGCAAUCUCGAGUCCGAGAGAGGUGAGUGGAAUUCCGAGUGUAGAGGUGAAAUUCGUAGAUAUUCGGAGGAACACCAGUGGCGAAGGCGGCUCACUGGACCGUUGUUGACGCUGAGGUGCGAAAGCGUGGGGAGCAAACAGGG